GUGUCGCGUCCCGGGACCGGACGAUAGGAGGCAUGUUCUGCGCUAGCACCGUGACUUUGUUCCCAGCGUGGGGACUGUGGGAGAGAUGGAGAGAGACUGGUACAGAAAUGGUGAGACAAGGAGAGAGCCAUAAAGAGGAAGACAGAGAGAAAGAAGACAAAUGCAUAAAGAGGUUCAGAGACGUGUGACUAUGGAGAUCGAAGGCCUGGUUUUAGGGCUAGCGAACACCUUCUCGCUUUGGUUUUGGUCCACAGAAGACUGGUGAUACAGAGCAUCCUCGCCAGGAGAGGCAGAGUCCAUGGAGCAGCCGAGACAGCUGUGGAGGAGAAGGUGCCACGCGGAGCUAUUGAGAGAGAGGGAAGGGCACCCCGUCACUACACACAGCAAAAAAUGACCUUCUGCCAAAGAAGCUGAUGGUUCAGGAAGAAAAUAGGAGAGCUGACUAUCCCUGAAGGAAAAGGAAACGUGGUACUGUUUUGCUUUAUCACAAAUACAAACAAAAGGUUUAAAGAUGGAAAGAAAAGAACAGAAAGGAAAAAGAGUGAAAAGCCAGGAAAAGCACCUAGGAGCAACAGCUCUCUGCUGCCAUACU
rnacentral:antisense_RNA from 1 species